UACGUAGGUGACAAGCGUUGUCCGGAUUUACUGGGCGUAAAGAGCGCGCAGGCGGUCGUUCAAGUCGAGUGUGAAAGCCCCCGGCUCAACUGGGGAGGGUCAUUCGAUACUGAUCGACUCGAAGGCAGGAGAGGGUAGUGGAAUUCCCGGUGUAGUGGUGAAAUGCGUAGAUAUCGGGAGGAACACCAGUGGCGAAGGGCGACUACCCUGGCCUGGUUCUUGACGCUGAGGCGCGAAAGCUAGGGAGCAAC
rnacentral:rRNA from 1 species